rnacentral:rRNA from 1 species
GCCGGUUGUGAAAGCCCCGGGCUCAACCUGGGAACGGCAUCCGGAACUGUCAAGCUAGAGUGCAGGAGAGGAAGGUAGAAUUCCCGGUGUAGCGGUGAAAUGCGUAGAGAUCGGGAGGAAUACCAGUGGCGAAGGCGGCCUUCUGGACUGACACUGACACUGAGGUGCGAAAGCGUGGGUAGCAAACAGGAUUAGAUACCCUGGUAGUCCACGCCGUAAACGAUGUCGACCAGCCGUUGGGUGCCUAGCGCACUUUGUGGCGAAGUUAACGCGAUAAGUCGACCGCCUGGGGAGUACGGCCGCAAGGUUAAAACUCAAAUGAAUUGACGGGGGCCCGCACAAGCGGUGGAGCAUGUGGUUUAAUUCGAUGCAACGCGAAGAACCUUACCUACUCUUGACAUCCUGCGAAUUCGGUAGAGAUACCUUAGUGCCUUCGGGAACGCAGAGACAGGUGCUGCAUGGCUGUCGUCAGCUCGUGUUGUGAAAUGUUGGGUUAAGUCCCGUAACGAGCGCAACCCUUGUCCUUAUUUGCCAGCGCGUAAUGGCGGGAACUCUAAGGAGACUGCCGGUGACAAACCGGAGGAAGGUGGGGACGACGUCAAGUCAUCAUGGCCCUUACGAGUAGGGCUACACACGUGCUACAAUGGUCGGUACAAAGGGUUGCCAACUCGCGAGAGUGAGCCAAUCCCGAAAAGCCGAUCUCAGUCCGGAUCGGAGUCUGCAACUCGACUCCGUGAAGUCGGAAUCGCUAGUAAUCGUAGAUCAGAAUGCUACGGUGAAUACGUUCCCGGGCCUUGUACACACCGCCCGUCACACCAUGGGAGUGGACUGCACCAGAAGUGGUUAGCCUAACGCAAGAGGGCGAUCACCAGUGUGUUACCGG